rnacentral:rRNA from 1 species
UACGUAGGUGGCAAGCGUUGUCCGGAUUUACUGGGCGUAAAGAGCGCGCAGGCGGUCAGAUAAGUCGAAUGUGAAAGCCCCCGGCUCAACUGGGGAGGGUCAUUCGAUACUGUUCGACUCGAAGGCAGGAGAGGGAAGUGGAAUUCCCGGUGUAGUGGUGAAAUGCGUAGAUAUCAGGAGGAACACCGGUGGCGAAGGCGGUUCUCUGGGCAUUACCUGACGCUGAGGAGCGAAAGUGUGGGGAGCGAACAGG